UUUUUCAAAGUAGUGUGAUGGGAUGAGUCUUUAGCGGUUAAGCUGAGGAAGUAGACAAAGGUAUUUAAGUUUGUCCCAGGAAAAGUUCAGUACUACUGCUGCUAUAUAUGCAGAGUACAAACUGAAUUACUACAUGGAAACACGAAUAUUCAAUUAUUACACAUAACAAUAGAAUCCAAUUUCUAUAUAUAUUGAUGAGAGUACUCACACCAAUGGCAUGGAAUAUAUACCAACAAAAUCUUAUCGUUAAAUAAAACAGUUCCUGAAAGGUUAUAUACAAGAUAUUUGGGUGAAACAGAAGCUAAGGAUGAAAAGACAUACAAGCACUCACGAUGCCUUCCAGUUGUUUGAACAUAAUUACCCAAAGGGGACGAGACUUUCAACAUAACAAUAAAUGCCACUGAUGUUGCUUCCCUUAGGAAGCCCCUUGAUUUUUAAUACCCUCCAACUCUUUCUUGUGACAUCAUAACACAAACAACAUAAAUCACCUCGACUUAAAGUUCACAACGAAUACAAUCUCUCCAUGACGGUCCAUGAAGAAUGAUGCAAAUCUAGGCUCUCUAGUUUUCCAUAUCAAGGGAACACCAAUUAUUUGUCUCUCCCAUUCUCUUUUUGGAGUCUUCUCUAAAAUCCAUAAGUCAAAGUACCCACUGACCCAUUUUCUGUAAUCGAUGACCCCUAAUUUACCCUUCACCUCUAUCAAAUGCAACUAUAGAUAAGUCAUCAGGUAUAGCAAACUGAUAGAUGACUCCACUAAUGCAAACACUGGGCAUAUAAUACGGAAUACAAGGCAAAAUGUGCUGACUCUCUCUCCAUGAUUUGUUUAUGCCUAAUGUGAAAACCCCGUAUUUUGUGUACCUUUCUCGAGAAAGAUGUGUUGUCAAGAGAACUUUGUACUUGUUUUCUUUCGGCUCAAAACCUAAUGAAUAUUUAUUCCAGCAUUUACCUUCAAUUGGGUCGAGCAGAAAUCUUACUUCUUUUGUGUUGGGAUUGAAAAUUGCAGCAGGUCACAUAUUUGAUGAAUCCCAACCGCAAAAUAAACCAUUAAUACAAUCCAAACAAGAAUAUGCAGGGUCAGUAGGGACACAGUUGUAAAGACUAUCAAAUCCGUCAACUUGAAGAACCGAGGUAGAGGCUUUUCCAUAUUUCUUUUUCUUUUCCUCUGCAGUGUAAUAAGCACUUACUCCGUGCAAAAGGAAUUCUAUCCCACCAGAACGACAUCUAUGGAUAUCCAAAAAAUCUGAUUCGGAUACCAUCGAAUUACAAAAUCUGAAAACACACUUGAAACGCAUUAACGAAUCAGAAGGAAGCCAUGAGAAUAUUUCAAACAUUAUUUCUUGAGGAAUUGAUACUAUUUUGCCGGCAGAAUUCAUUGUGUUUAGAAUAUUGAAGGCAGACGGCUAAAAUUUACUGAUGUUCUUUUUGCCUCAUUUCCGGUAAGACUUUUAUUUAUAAUCUUUUUGCCUCUCUGUUUCCUUGUAAGACUCUUAUUUCUUGUUGUUUUCUUUCUAGUACAUUAGAAUUAGGAUUGCCCAAAAUAUUGAACCUUUUUUUUUUUGUUUUAAAAUCCUAAACACAAUAUUAUUGGGAAAAAAUUGAACCUUUUUUUUUUUUGGGUUUUAAAACCCUAACCACACAAUAUUGAGUUAGGGGCACGAUUUUAUUAGAAUUCUUUUGGCCUUAAACCUCUUUUCAAUCAUCAAGAUGAGUUGAGAUUAAUUGUUUAUACUCUCUUCAUUUUAAUUUGUUUAUCUGGUUUUGACCUGAUAGAAAGUUUAAUCUGACCCACCCAUUUUUUCAUCAUAUGAUGUUGUUUCAUUAAGCAUUUGAGUUUUACAAGUUCAAUCUUGUGCUACUACUAAGGACUAUGCUAUGAAAAAAUAAAUUAUUCUACUGAUAAACAGACACGAGACACAACUUAUUUUAGUUACCAAGUUCAAAAAUAUUAUUGUACAGAUUCAUGAUGGUGUUUCAUUAAAAGAUGUAAGAAACAUCAGUAAACCAUGGACCAAAGUUUGUUUUGUUAACUGAACCAGUACCACAGGCAAUUGAUUCACAUCGAUGGUGAUGAUUAAGUACUUGCUAACUAUCAGAAGAAGAUGAGGAAAACUAUAAAAGCAAUAGAGGUGUCUAUGUUGACUUUGCCAGCAUCGGAGACAAUCGUGGAGUCAUUUCAUUGGUUCCUCUAUGAUGGGAUGAGUCGUUUCAUUGCUCAAACUAGAAAAAUUUCCCAAGUAUUGUUUAGUACAAGUAGAAAAAAGAAAAUAGAAAGAGGGAGUGCCAAGAGGAUUUAAAAUGCAUAUUCCGAAGAAGGGAGGCAAAGGCUUUUCCGUCUUUCUUUUGCUCCGAACUCCACAGUAUAAACUCUUGCUCCCAUGCAGAAGCAAUUUUGUUGUUAAGAUGAACCUUAACACCCAAGUCCAUGGAGUUUGUUUAGAAUAUCCUUUCCUCUGAAGAUAUCUGAUGGUAUCUUAUCCUAAAAUAAGAUAAGAGGUAAGAACCACGAAAGACUGUAUAUGAAUCGCCCUUUUCAGUUUCAAUGCACGUAAUCGACCCACACAGAAAGAAAGAAAGAAAGAAAGAGUGCAGCUCCCCGGCCCGAUUAAUGUAGAGCAAGGAAUUGAACAAACAUCAUCAAUUUAAAUGGAAUUGCUAAUGAUCACAAAGCUCUUCUUGAACAUAUUGCUACUAUCUUUUUUGUGCAUUUCUUUCCUCUUAACUGAUAGAAAGACAUAAGAUGGUAUGAGUAUUAGUCACCAUAUAAAGAUUUUGUAAUUUAGCCUUGAACAUACGUGCAACACACGCGCCCAAAACUAGUUAUCAUAAAUGUAUGGCAAGAAAAUACUUAUGAGCAUUCUAACUAGCAUGCUAUCAUAUUGCUUAGGAUUUAAUUUAGAAUUAUAAGUUAGAGACAUAUAAAUAGUAUAAUAAUAAAAACCUGAAAUGUAUUGACUAUGCCUAGUAAAGUAUCAUAACAAUACCUAAAGCAAGUAAUGUAUACAAUAAUUAAAUUGCAGAUCACUAACUUAUGAAAAUCCUUUUAGAGAAGUUAUAAACAUAUAAAUGUAUACCUGACUCAGAAAUAAAAGUUAUUAACUUUUAGGGAAAACGACAAUCCCAAAUUAAGUAGGUCUCAAUUGGUUAGAGACUCGUGUUGAUAACGUGUUGUGAAAUGAGAGAAAAAAACAAUAAUACUAAGCAAGAAAGGAAGACAAAUGGUAAUGGAAAGUAUAGAGUAGAGAGUCUUACAUAUUCUCUUCAAGUGUGUCUUUCACAAGGGUGAAGAAUACCCUUUUAUAGGAUGUAAAAUCCAUCAGUUUACAAUCUUUAACCACAUGUGUUAGUACAUCUUUAAGAGAUACAUCAAAUAGGUACAUUACGUUAGAUAUAGCUUAAAAGAAACACUCACACAAUUUAAUGGAUUUGUAACAAGUAUUAAAUAAAUUAUAGUUUAACAUAAUUUAAUUUUUAAAAAAAAUACAAUCUUUAAAUAUUUGACCUUAAUUAAAUUUAUUAUUUUAUAUUUCGUACAUCGAAAUAUAUUUUGAUAAUUAUUGUAACUCCUAGACUAUGACCGAAAUUCCAGAGACAUACCUUAACUAAACUAAGGUCCUAUUACCCCUCGAACUCAUUUUUUAAAAAUAAUUUUAUACAUAUUUUGGAUUACGUGGCACACUCUGUGACUCCACAUUAAUGAGAGUAUCAUUUUGAAUUCAAAUGCAUAUGCGGAACUCAAAUGCAAGUGAUCAUAUUCUUAGUAGCAGUCGAGAUUAGGAGAAUUUUUGCCUGAGAUAGAAGCUUGAUGUUACUACGGGUCAGUGGUAUCAGCUAGAUAGUUAUAUUUUUGCGGUGAGUUUCUGCCUUGAGUCAUUUAUUUGGUUCCUUUGUUUUUUUAAAACCCUAAACACAAUAUUAUUGGGGAAAAAAUUGAACGCUGUUUUCUCUUUAAAAAAAAAUUAAAACCCUAACCACAAUAUUGCAAACAAUUUAGUUAGGGGCACAAUUUUAUUAGAAUUCUUUUGGCCUCAAACCUCUUUCCAAUCAUCAAGAUGAGUUGAGAUUAGUUGUUUAUACUCUCUGUACUUUAAUUUGUUUAUCUGGUUUUGACCUGAUAGGAAGUUUAAGCAUUUGAGUUUUACAAGUUCAAUAUAAAUUAUUCGACUGAUAAAUAGACAUCAGACACAACUUGAAUCUAUCAUUCAACUGGACGAUAUGUUAGGGAUUAAUUCAAGGCAAAAUCUGUAGUUACCGAGUUUGAAAAUAUUUUUGUACAGAUUCAUGAUGGUGUUUUAUCAAAAGAUGUAGAAACAUAAGUAAACCAUGGACCAAAGUUUGUUUUGUUAACCGGCAAUUGUAGCUUCAACAAUUGAUUCUCCAGUUAAAGUCCUGCAUGACAAUAUAGAUUAUAUAAAUGAACAUCAACAUGUCGAAGUUAAUGAUGAAAUAAGCAAGGAAGAUUCGAUCAAAAUUAGCACAAUCUCAAUCAUGCUUUGAACGUGGCAGAUUUAUCUCCAGAUGUUCAGUCAAAAGGGAAGAAAAACAGGGCUAAUGCUGAAACGAGUAAGACCACAAGAACUAUCUAGAUCCAUUUAUAAAUGUUUCAUUCCUAGAUCCAUUAUAAAUGGAUCAAUAGUAUAGAUCAAUAGUAUGUUUUGGUGCCGAAAAAAGUAUCAAUUCCUCAACAAAUAAUAUUUGAAAUAUUCUCAUGGCUUCCUAUCGAAGCCAUCAAAUCGUUAAUACACAUUUUCAGAUUCUGUAAUUCUCUUAUAUCUGAGUCAGAUUUUGUGGAUAUUCAUUGUUGUCUUUGUAUGACCCCUUCAUGGUGGAACAAAUUUCUUUCUCCAUUUAAGGAAAGCUUUUUAAGCCACUGAGCAAACGGAGCAUGGAAAUAUCUCUACCUCCCUUUUUCAAACGGAGAGAUUUGAUGGACUCUAUAGGUGUUCAAAUUCUUUUUUGGAUUUCGUUAAUGGUUUAUUUUGCAUUUGGAAACCAUCAUUUAUGCGAGGUGCUGCAAUUUUCAAUCCUAUAGAAGAGAAGUAAGAUUUCUUCCAGAUCCAAAUAAAGGUAUUCUUGGCAUAAGUAUUCAUUAGGUUUUGAGCCAGAAGAGAAGAAAUAUAAAGUGUUUUUGUUAGCAACACAAUAAGGGUACACAAAACAAUGGGUUUUAACUUUAAGCAUAGAUAAAUCGUGGAGAGAGACUGAAAGCAUUACUCCUUCUACUCCGUGUUGGGUUCGAAAGAGAUUAGGACGUCAUGCAGAAGCUUACAAUUGCAAAUCAUAUGAUUAACAAAUCAGACAACAAAUAAAAGUAUACUUAAAGACAUAAUAUUAUUAUAUGAUAUGACCAAUUGUCCUACCUAUUUAAAAACUAAUUAAAAGAAUAAAACUGUAGAGAGAAAAUCUCCCAUUAGCAAAAGUCUCUAAACGACUACAUUGUGGAUUCUAUUGUGUUAUGCUAUGAGAAUAGAAGUUUCAAUUUAUUGAUCUCCAAACUUUUCCUUUAAGGAAAGAAUAAACCAAAUAUGGAAGAAAAUUAUAUUUUCAUUUCAGAAAAAGUUCAAGCAUUUAUGAUAAUACUUUGACUUUUCUUUAAAAAAAAAAAACUUCAAAUAAGGAAAGAAAAUUAGGGCGAAACCCUAACAAAUCUCCCCUUUUGACUGAAUUUUCUUGACAAAACUUGAUCCAGCUUCUUAAGAUGCAUGAUAAUCUUCGUUCUUCACAUAGUCUUCAUCACUGCUGUUUGUCAUGGUUAAGAAUAAAGUUUAAAAUAUAUGGGUUAGAAAGGAUUUAAAAAUAUUUUAUUUUUAUUUUCAAAGAUGCAGCAGCAAGAAUGUUGAAAAUAUGGUUUAAAUCUCUUCUCCACAUGUAACUGGACAAAAAUCUUCAUUAUUGUCAAAUUUAUUGCAAAUUGAUUUGAAACUGCGUUGAACCUGUCUUCAACCUCGUUCCAUUGGAUCAUUAAACCAUGUGCUCUGAUACCACUUGUUGGGUUAAAAAAUGAUUAGGGCGUCAUGCGGAAGCUUACAAUUGCAAAUCAUACGAUUAACAAAUCAGACAACAUAUAAAAGUAUACUUAAAAGACAUAAUAUUAUUAUAUGAUAUGACCAAUUGACCUACAUAUUUAAAAAAUAAUUAAAAUCAUAAAACUAUAGAGAGAACAUCUCCCUAUAAGCAAAAGUCUCUAAACGACUACAUUUUGCUCAUGGCACUCUGGCUAAAGGGAAGAUGCUGCCAUAUUGAUCAGGGCUAUUUUAUGGCAAGGGAGCAGGUCCUCUCGCAAGGUUAGUAUCACCUUACUAUGUGAGUUAUUGCCUAGUGGUCACUUGCCAUGUGUCAUCUCCUUGUCUUUCGUGUCAGUAACAAAUGUCUUUUCAUUUUCAAAAUCCAAGGGUAGCUCUUGUUCGUGGACCGAUUCAAAUGAUAAAAAAACCUGUGAUCUAUACUUUUCCUAUUCAACUCUUCAGCGUGUUCUCUCCAAAAACAAAAAAAAAAAUUCUCUUUUUUCUUUUUGUCUUCUUCUCACUCUCAAUAUGUCAAAUCCUUCAUCCCAUUCAAAGGAUCUUCCUUCAUAAGACGUUGAAAACCCUAGUUCUUUCUAGUUUUCAACUCUUCCUGAGGAACCUUCUCUUUCCACUCCACUGUGUGGUAUAUGUGAGUUUAAAACACCUCACACUAAGAUACUGGCUUCACCCGUCACUAUUGAAACCCUUCCGUGUUCACCCCUUCUAGUCCUAUCCUUUCCAAAGGCCUCAAAUCACUCUAAGGCUUAUUUUGUAGUCAAACCUAUUGAUGGUCGCCUACUGAAGAACUAGAUGUCACAUCUCAAUCUGGCCCUGUCUCUUUAAUGAUGUCUGAAAGAAUGUUUGGUGGUGAUUUGCCUGAAGAAAAGGGGUUGAAUCUAACAUUCUCGCAGCAGGAGAGGAAUGGGUGGUUCAAAUCCUAACUACUUUGAAGGAAGAUAUUCAUCCUUCUAUCUAUGAGGUUGUGUAAAAGUCACCAGAUCCAGUACCCAGUAGGUCCGAACCCGUGUUUGAUAAAACUCCUGAGGUUGUGACACAAGUUAAUUUUGCUCAGGAGGAUAUGAAGGAUGGUGAAGAAACCCAUCUUUCUUGGAAGAGGAUAGGGAUAAGGGGAAUAUGCGGUUGAAUAUGUCACUGGUGUUAAAAAAAAUCAGGUGCCAACAAGGAAUCAAUUUCUGAGGUACCUAGUGAAUCUGCACAAAAAGGGAAAAGUAAGGGAAAAAAGAAAUUGGUGGAAUCCUCAACCAUUAAAGUCUCUCUAAAGUAUGUCACAAGAGGAUCACAUCAAAAAUUGAUGGGAUGUGAUGGUGGCAAACAAGGCUCAAACUACUCGAAAUAGAAGAAAGAGGAAAUCUAGUGUAGCUGAGGAAGUUCUGCAUGUGGACCCUAUAGUUCUUUCCAAAGAGGGUGGGUCAAGCGACAUGGAAUCUGAUGAUAUUGUGAAUGUUGUUGCGAAAAGAUGAAGGGAAGUAGAAGAGCAACGAGUUAAAGCCCUAAUAACCAAGAAAACUAAAAGGAAAUCACAAGCAAAGGAUGUUCCUGCAAAAUCAAAGGUUGUUCCUAUGUCUAAACCAAUGGAGGGACCAAGUCCAUAGGUGAAAAGAGGGGGAGAGGAUAAAGUCCUAACCAGGGAAGAAAGGAUUGAAGUUCUAAGAAAAAGGUGCUAAAUGGGAGGGUGUUUGACCCUGAAAUUCUUACCGGACUAGGAAUGUGCUACUUGGUAGAUUAUGUGGCACUGCAAGAUUGGGAGCAUUUGUUCGAGUGUCCUGUGCCGUGAUUGCACGAAUCAAAGGUGCACGAAUUCUACUAUCAGUUGGUCCUAUUGUAAGAUGGAGGAAUAAGCAUGAGUGUUCAUGGAGUGGAAAUCACCCUAAGUGAGGAGGUCUUGGGAAUCAUCUUGGACAUACCCUGCAAAGUGAUUAGGUCUGUCAAAGGCUGCAAAACAUCAAUAGAUUAUGUCCAAAGGGCUACAAAAUUUGGAGACCUGAAGUGCACUUGGGUUCCUAAGAGGUUUAUUAAGGGAGAACAUCAACUGUAUUUUGAAUUCGUCAACAUGGUGCUGCUGCCUCGCACAGAAAAGCGAAUAGUUGCAUCAUCAACAAACCUCUUUGUCAUGGAGCAGGAUACUUAUGAAGCGAUCAAUCUUCCAAGGAUCAUGCUGGAGCAUAUGCACAUGAUUAUGACAGUGAAGAAUGGAAAGCAUGGGAUAAACUAUAAAUAUCUCUAAACUCAGUUUUUGAUUACUUCGAUGUGCCUCUUGGCAGGGGAGUGGCAGGUACCAUCAAGCAAACCUUUUCAAUGUCCACCCUUAUUGAAUGUGAAUGUGUGGAGGGUAAGGUGAAGGCCAAGUCUCAAGUCUCAAAACUCCUGGACAAAAUAGAAGUGCUUAAAAGAGAAAUGGAGGACUUUACUACCCUUGUAGCUGAAAAGGAGUUAGAGAUUACUCCACUUAAGGCCUUGCUUCAACAGGCAAAGUCCCAGGGACCAGGUAACAGUGCAGAUGCACAGGGGAAACUCGACAAGUUGAGAGUCGAAAAUACAAAAAUGACAGAUUCAAAUUCCUUUCUAAGCGAGGAAGUUAAGUCUCUCACUAAGCAGCUGAUUCAGGCUCAUACUAAUGCCAUCAUCGAAUGAACAUUCUGCUUUAGUCCUUUUAUCCUUGACCUCCCCCGUCCUAGAGUGUCUCUCUAUUCUUCCUGUCAUAUUAUCAUUGGAAGUGUUGUCCUAGUUGUGUGAUGCUUAACAACUAGUUUUGUGGUACAUGAUCUACAUCAAUAAAUUGCCCUAUUUAUGAUUCGUCUUUUUCUUCUCUAUUUUGCCUGUUUGCUCAUGUACUGUGUGUCUGUGGCUCUGAAUUCCUUACUGUUUGCCUAGCACUUGCGUAUGUUUACUGCUCUAACUUUUCAAUGAUAUGCCAAAAGGGGGAAUAUUGUACAUGUUGCUGACGGUAUUAAUGAUAGGGGGAAUGGUGACGGGGGGAAUGGUGACGAGGGGAAUGAUAAAAUGAAUGAAUAAACUCAAUGAGACUGUUUGUUUGUCAUCAUCAAAAAUGCGGAAAAUGUAGUAUUUCAGGUGUUUUGAUGAUCCUCACAAAUGACGGGACCCCUUCUGUGGCAGCGUAGCUCUCGUCCAAGGUCAAUAUGGUGAACAACUAUAAAUCUAUCUUGUCAACCGAUUGGUGAGAAGGACAGUGUACUUCUCCAAUUGGAACAUACUAGGUUGUUUGUUCAGUGGAUAAUAAUUUUUGUUGUGAUUGAUAUAUUCAAGUGAACAAACAACAAAAAUAUUAAUUCAUCAAAUAGGGCGAUUUUUAUCUUUCAAAAAAACAAGCUUUAAGAACACACAUGACAAGGACCUGAUAGAGUGAAGAAAAAUAAUCUUGAAGUUCUGAUGUUUUAAAUGCUUGUAUUGUGCUGAAAUUGUAGGAUUCGUUUCUCAUCUAUAAAGAAACGUAUCAAAGUUCUUUCUUGGGUACUGAUUGUAAAAACACAAUUAGAGUUAAUUGUGUGUCGUAAAGUUGAAGUUUAUAUUAAUUAGUGGUAGUUAAUAUAGUGGGUAAUGGAUGCAUUGCUUUGGCUCAAUUAAAUAAUAGUGUUAUUACUUAGUGUGAGAUUAAGAAUUUAAUCUCAUUUGUUGUAUUUGAAGUUUGUAUUCACUUUUGCUUGUAAUUAGUGAAAACCGUUGAAAAUCCUGUGUGACAGGUUGUGGUUUUACUCCCUUGAGCAAGGAGGUUUCCACGUAAAACUCUUUGUCUUCACUGUUGAUUAAAUAAGUUCUUUACUGCAUUUCUUCUGUACUUUCAACCGGGUACUAUAGCACGUUGUGAAGCUUGCACAUCUCAAUAUAUAUAUAUAUAUAUAUAUAUAUAUAUAUAUAUUACAUGACUUGAUAUACACAUUAUUCUCAUUCUUUUAACAGUCUCCACGAAUGUGUGACAUGAAAAGUGUUGAAGAUAAGAGAAGCUAAAGAUAUGGAACAGGCUGAACAAUGUGGCACAAUGAAUGUUAUACACGUCCUAGUAUGACUCUAACUACAUGUUGAUUGUACCACGUUGUUCAACAUGUUCCAUAUCUUCAGGUUCCCUUAUCUUCAACAAAAAGUUAUACAAGUAUUUAAUGUGACUUACUUGUGACAAGUAGCAUUAAAAGGUUUCUUGGUUCUUUCAUAUCUGGGUGCAAUAUAAUAUUUUCUGUAAGUACUAACACUUAAAUAAUGAGCAGCUAAACUUCCAAUUUUCGUAAUUAGUGGAGAUUCAGAUGCAGUUAUGAACGAUAAAUAAGGAGAACAUGCAGAUCUCACACAAAAAUAGAACUAGCACAUGAAACACAUAAAUUUCUUGAUGUUAAGUUGAAAUUAAGGAAUUUUAUCGCAGAGACAUGUCAAUAGAGGCUUUUUAGGAAACCUUUUUUCAUGAAAAUAUGGAACUUAAUUAGAUAAUUAUUUUUGUCCUUUCAUAAAAUAUAUUCACCUUUGUCCAAUCUUCCCUUCUUUGUUGAUCUGUUGCUCUUUGUUAGAUAAAUUCUCAUAGUUUCAAUGAUCUUUUAAGAUAUUAACACCCACGGGUGCCCAUGAUCAGCUAGUUUGCUCAAACGCCGAAUUCUCCGACAGGGUGCUCGAGAUUCGUUCUGAACCCUAUGCAUGCAAAGGACAUAUGUAACCCUACCAAAUUUGAUAUUUAGGACUCAAUGGAUAAGUCCAAAUUCCCAUACGAGAUCAUCUCAGCAUAAAAGUUGGUCCCACCCAAACUCUAUUUUAAGCUAAAAUCCACAACGAAGCUUGGAAUUAGCUCGGAAGCCUCGAGAUCCAAAUUAACAGUUGUUCUAUCCCAAACUCAGCAUUCCAGAGCUAACCGAAUGAAAGAAUUCUCAUCCAAGCUCGUAAAUCAGAAUUUUGACUAAAGUCAAACUUAGACCUUAACUUGAAAGUUAAAACGCCUAAUCAUACUCGCACUCGUAAAAUGAUCCUUACGGAGCUGAUGGAAUAGUUAGAAGGCAAAAGUACUCAUUACCCCCCUGAACUUGAAGCUUUUUAUACGGUGUACACCUAAACUAAAUUCCGUUUUAAUUACCCCCCCGAACUUGUUUAUUCCUCCGUCGCAUACACCUUUUUCGUCCACCUGGCGUAGAAAUUGACAACAAUCUCUACUAGGCGCGUGAGGAAGUGAUUUUUUGCCACAUCAUAACGCUACAUUGAUAAAAAAACGUAAAAUCUUCAUUUUUCUUUAAUAUUUGGCAUAUUUUAAACGAAAAAUAGGGUAAAAUGUAAAUGAAAAGUAAAGGAAACAAAGAUUAACACUUACUUGGUAAGAAUUUCAGACAAAUUUGAAAUUUAAUCGACCAACUUCACGUCUAGAAAAACCCAAAUCCAAAAGGAGUUCCGCGAAAUCAACCCUUAUUCAAAAAUAACUUUUAAACAAUGAAUUUUAAAUUUAGGAAAUUUAUUUUUUGCAAUAUUAAUUUAUCCAGGUGGCUAUUAUUUAUCCAGGUGGAAAUCCACAUCACCAAUUUAGACAGCUGUCGCGCGCGUGUAGUCCCAACAGGAGUAGGUGGACGAAAAAGGUGUACGCGACGGAGGAAUAAACAAGUUCGGGGGGGUAAUUAAAACAAAAUUUAGUUUAGGUGUACACUGUAUAAAAAGCUUCAAGUUCAGGAGGGUAAUGAGUACUUCUGCCUAGUUAGAAUUGAAUUUUGGGGUCAUCUUCUUAAUCUUUUGAUCAGAAUUGACCGUUCAAAGUUCAAAAACUCCAAAAUACUAAAACUCACGUAAGAACCAAAAGAACAUCCAGGUGGCAAACCUGUCAGUCACAUGAAGUGAUAAAUGACUUGGGGUCGCUAGAGGAACGCUCUAAAUGACAACAUGAGGCAUAAUAUAGAAAUGACCCGGAGGACAUUACAACUAAUCUAUUCUUCUAGAGCUAAAAAUCAUAGACGACAAAUUUUUUAUUGUUAAAUACACCUUUGUUUCGGUUAGUUUCACUAUUGCUACACAAUCUUUAAGAAAAGAAACUUUAUUGCUUUCCUAGAAAUAGAAAUAAAUACAAAAGAACGUAAGAAAUUUCUAACAAUAGCCUAAGACAUGAUGAUAUUGUAUAUAAAAUAUAAUCUGAUUUUUAUUUUAUCAAUUUCUAUUUUCUUUAAAUUACAUGACUGGGAUCUUUGUCUACAAAGGAUGUUAAUCGUUUACCUUUUAUGUUAAGUUGAAUAGUUUUUAGGAGUUUAAUUGAUGAUCUCAUUUUUAUUUUUAAUGGAUGACAAUGGUCAUCUAAAUACAAAAUCAUUAAAGAAAGGUACUCUAAGCUUGUAAGAUUAGUAAUUUAUGACAAGGAGUCUACAUUGAAAGGCAUGUGAAUAGAUAGAGAACAUUUUCUUCGUACAAAAUUGAAUGUUUUGUAAACCAACAUGUGGCAUUUGAAAUUUUUGUAGUGAUAUUCUUGGAAACAGGUAGUUGAAGAGUAUAUAGUUGUAACUUUUAAGUCUUUGUCAUCCCUCUCUUCAUGUUUAUUUUCAAUCUUCAUGUGGAAACUUUCAGCAUUCAUUUAAUUAUAGCAUAAAAGAUCAAUUAAUAUUGAGAAGAUAACUAUAUCAAUGUAUAAAAAUUGUAUAGUAGAUAAUAUAUACAAGAUAAAAGAAAGUGAUCAAAUAGUAAUUCAUUCACAUUCAUUUAUUAAAGGUUCUUGUUUUGGAUAACAGGACUUAAACGGUUACAUUGUUUUCCAUACUAGCUAUUACAUAUAGGUUUCCAAAACAGGCUAACUGUCACGACCCGAGAGCACCCCCAAGUCGUAACAAGGCGUACUCGACCCCGAAGGGGUCUUAUACAAACCACAUAGUCAUUCAUUGCAUUCAAUAAUGAUAAUAGUGAGGAAUUAAAAACUUAUUUACAUCCAAACAUUCAAGCUUCAUUAAAACAACUUCAAAAACACACAGCGGAAGUCUAAGUCUCACAUGGCCAUCUUAGACACAAUCACAAAACACAAGUAGGGACACGGCCCUUUACAAUCAAAAAAAGUCUAUUAAGUCUAUUACAAGAACCUUAUCAUAAAAUUAGAAUAGAAAAGUCUUGUCCUCGACAUAUGAGGACAUACCACAAGAUCUUGGAAGAACUUCAAGUUCCAAGCUUACUAUAGAACCCGCUCACUUUCCGGAACCUACACUAGUAGAAAAUAGAGAAAUAUGGAAUUAGCACAAUUAAGUACUAAGUAUGAUGACCAUGCAAAACAUGCUUUAAAAGGGACAUUUUGGCUAGAAACCAUGCAUUAUGCCACUUUUUGAAGUAUCAUGAACAGUUGCAUAAAAGACAUACAAGACAAGCAUAAACAUCAAGUAAGUCAUAAUAUCACCUUUAAACAAUAUCAACAUNNNNNNNNNNNNNNNNNNNNNNNNNNNNNNNNNNNNNNNNNNNNNNNNNNNNNNNNNNNNNNNNNNNNNNNNNNNNNNNNNNNNNNNNNNNNNNNNNNNNNNNNNNNNNNNNNNNNNNNNNNNNNNNNNNNNNNNNNNNNNNNNNNNNNNNNNNNNNNNNNNNNNNNNNNNNNNNNNNNNNNNNNNNNNNNNNNNNNNNNNNNNNNNNNNNNNNNNNNNNNNNNNNNNNNNNNNNNNNNNNNNNNNNNNNNNNNNNNNNNNNNNNNNNNNNNNNNNNNNNNNNNNNNNNNNNNNNNNNNNNNNNNNNNNNNNNNNNNNNNNNNNNNNNNNNNNNNNNNNNNNNNNNNNNNNNNNNNNNNNNNNNNNNNNNNNNNNNNNNNNNNNNNNNNNNNNNNNNNNNNNNNNNNNNNNNNNNNNNNNNNNNNNNNNNNNNNNNNNNNNNNNNNNNNNNNNNNNNNNNNNNNNNNNNNNNNNNNNNNNNNNNNNNNNNNNNNNNNNNNNNNNNNNNNNNNNNNNNNNNNNNNNNNNNNNNNNNNNNNNNNNNNNNNNNNNNNNNNNNNNNNNNNNNNNNNNNNNNNNNNNNNNNNNNNNNNNNNNNNNNNNNNNNNNNNNNNNNNNNNNNNNNNNNNNNNNNNNNNNNNNNNNNNNNNNNNNNNNNNNNNNNNNNNNNNNNNNNNNNNNNNNNNNNNNNNNNNNNNNNNNNNNNNNNNNNNNNNNNNNNNNNNNNNNNNNNNNNNNNNNNNNNNNNNNNNNNNNNNNNNNNNNNNNNNNNNNNNNNNNNNNNNNNNNNNNNNNNNNNNNNNNNNNNNNNNNNNNNNNNNNNNNNNNNNNNNNNNNNNNNNNNNNNNNNNNNNNNNNNNNNNNNNNNNNNNNNNNNNNNNNNNNNNNNNNNNNNNNNNNNNNNNNNNNNNNNNNNNNNNNNNNNNNNNNNNNNNNNNNNNNNNNNNNNNNNNNNNNNNNNNNNNNNNNNNNNNNNNNNNNNNNNNNNNNNNNNNNNNNNNNNNNNNNNNNNNNNNNNNNNNNNNNNNNNNNNNNNNNNNNNNNNNNNNNNNNNNNNNNNNNNNNNNNNNNNNNNNNNNNNNNNNNNNNNNNNNNNNNNNNNNNNNNNNNNNNNNNNNNNNNNNNNNNNNNNNNNNNNNNNNNNNNNNNNNNNNNNNNNNNNNNNNNNNNNNNNNNNNNNNNNNNNNNNNNNNNNNNNNNNNNNNNNNNNNNNNNNNNNNNNNNNNNNNNNNNNNNNNNNNNNNNNNNNNNNNNNNNNNNNNNNNNNNNNNNNNNNNNNNNNNNNNNNNNNNNNNNNNNNNNNNNNNNNNNNNNNNNNNNNNNNNNNNNNNNNNNNNNNNNNNNNNNNNNNNNNNNNNNNNNNNNNNNNNNNNNNNNNNNNNNNNNNNNNNNNNNNNNNNNNNNNNNNNNNNNNNNNNNNNNNNNNNNNNNNNNNNNNNNNNNNNNNNNNNNNNNNNNNNNNNNNNNNNNNNNNNNNNNNNNNNNNNNNNNNNNNNNNNNNNNNNNNNNNNNNNNNNNNNNNNNNNNNNNNNNNNNNNNNNNNNNNNNNNNNNNNNNNNNNNNNNNNNNNNNNNNNNNNNNNNNNNNNNNNNNNNNNNNNNNNNNNNNNNNNNNNNNNNNNNNNNNNNNNNNNNNNNNNNNNNNNNNNNNNNNNNNNNNNNNNNNNNNNNNNNNNNNNNNNNNNNNNNNNNNNNNNNNNNNNNNNNNNNNNNNNNNNNNNNNNNNNNNNNNNNNNNNNNNNNNNNNNNNNNNNNNNNNUGGACUCCUUGAAGGAAAUAUAAUCAAGGAUCAAGGGUCACCAUACCUUUGUUAAGAUUCCCCAAGAAAAUUGAUGAAGAAACCACCUUCAAUCCAAGCCCUAGCUCCAAGUUCUUGACCUUCUUAAAAUGGAGGAUUGUAGAGAGAAAAGUAUUUGAGAGGAGGUGAGUUCUUUUUAAUUCUAAUUAGAGUGACUUAAAAUGGAAGAAUUUGGUCUAGAAGGGUUUUAUAAUUGCUAGGAAAGGCAUAUAAUAAAAGGGGCUCAACUUAGGAAAAGAAAUAAGGACCCAUUUAAAAGUUUCCACUAAACCCGUCUAAGCUCGUCCUUGCUGACAGUGCUUCACUAUUUUGGGCAUAACUUUUUACUCCGAGAUCGGAAAAGGGCAAACUCGGUGGCGUUGGAAAGAGGACUCAGAUACCUUUAAUUGGAUAGGUAAUGGUCGACCUAAUUCAUUUUGAGCUAAAAGAUAUGACCAUUUAAAGUUGACCCUCACUCCUAACUUAAAACUAAAAACUGUUUUUAGGGGACUGUUUUGAGGGUCUCGGUUCUAAAUGAUUUCAUGACCUAGCUUAAGGUCUUGCUAGCUUAUAAAGGUGAUUAAUCAACUAGCUAAUCAACCCCUUAAGUCCUUAAACAACACUCCAAACUUCAACGACAAGACCCUUACAACUCACUAGUUCGAACGACUAGUUUCCGGACGUCACUGUCAUUUCUCAACAUUUCAUCAAGUUCUCAACUCCAAACUCACAUGUGAGGCUCUAGUUUCACUAGUUCGUUUUUAGGGUCGUUACACUAACGUAUUACAAGUAGUCCGUGGAACUACUUUAGUCAGAGGAACUCCUUCAUGAUAUGCCUUAAUUAACGGGAUUACAGGGUCACAAGGAAUUAGCAUGAUAGUAGCUUUAGAGGAUGAUCUUAGCUUGGCACCUAUCUUUGACAAAAAGUCUACUACUUGAUUUGCCUGGCGGAAGCUAUGGCGGAGAACUGGGCUCCCCAACUUCUUCAUAAGCAACCUGCAUGAAUCAAUUAAAUCAACAUAAAUGGGUUCAAAGAAUUUUAGUGGAGUCAGUUUCAAUUUCAAGGGACUGUAAAUCAUAUGUAAUAGCUAUUUGGAGUCCUGGAUGAAGGGCUUCUAAUCUAGCCAUUACAUGAUUUUGCACCUUGACAUAUUAAUAAAAUCCUGUUAACCAAACUCCCUCGUGAUUAAUCUAAUGAUACCCUCAAUGCCUCCUGAGUUGCUAAUAUUUGAGUAGAAGCCAUAGGUGUUGUAACAUCCCAUAUGCUAGAAAACCAAAAUUGCAGAAUUUCAGAAGUUACAGGUGCCAUCAACGGUGCUACCUAUGGACCGUAGGGUGACCCACGGACCAUAGGUGGGGUCCGUGGUUAGCCACUUGCAGCCCUCCCCAGAAACUCAGAAAAAAAUCGUCUAAGGGUCGAUCCACAGCUGGACCUACGGACCGUAGGUCAGACCACGGGUCGUGGUCCAUGGAUCAAGACCCACAGAACCCCUACUCUGAAGCUAGUCGACAAUUGACAGGAUGAACCGUAGGUCAGUCAAUGGUCCGUCAGUUGGCCCCGAUAACUUUUAAGUCAGUGUCAUUUUGGUCUUUUCCCUAUGUGUUGGACACCUAAACUACGUUGUUUUGGUCAGCUUUGUCCUAGUAAGUAAAUUAGAACUUACCUUAGUCGAGUCAUUCUCCAAAAUUCAUCCAAUUUGAAUGAAAAAGAGAAGAAAGAGUCGACCAACCCUCUCCAAGAACGCAACAAGGUUUCCUCCAGUUCCAGCUCCGAAAUUGAAAGAUUUCUCCAUGAAACUCGUCACCAGUUAUGUGGGAUUUCACUAGUGGGUUCCUUUCACCCAUUAGGUCCCUAGAAUUCAGUCAAAUUCUUGAUUCUCUAUAUCAUGUUUAGACCUAGGGUUUCUUGAACUAAAAUAAAAGAGUUGUGAUUCAACUGUUAGACUAAUCCUAAUCAGAUUAUCAUGUUUUUGAUGAAUUUUUGCUUAGCUUCUUGCAUGAAACUCAAAACCCUAGUUGUGUAGAUUCGUUUAGUUCAUGAAUUACACUUGCUAGGUCAGUCUUAUUCAGAUAUACAUGCUCCCGUUAAGAAUGUUUCAUUAUCAGUACAUUAAUGUUGCAUUUUCAGUUAGCAUGUCAGUAUUUGAGCUAUCCAGUUUAUAUUCAGUAAUGUUGUAUUGUAUACAUUCUAGUUGGGAGUAGGCCUAAUAUCGAGUGGACUAGGGUCAGUCACCUCAUAGUCCCAGAACUACGUGCCUCCGUAGGUUUAGUCCCCUUUGUGGGCAUCAUAUUUAGUAAUCACACCAGUCAUGCUUUUAUACCCCUAACAAGGUAUAGUGGGUCCUAUCGAUGGGGCGUAUACAUUGGACUCCACAUUUAGCUCACGUGGUUUUAUGUUGGUUAUUAGUAGCUCCCAUAGUCAGAUUCUAGUACAUUGACGAGGUUACAAAUUAUAUUUCAGUAUUCAGUUUCAACAUGUUAUGUACUUGGUCAUUGCAUUCAGUUUAGUUCAUGUUUAGUAUGUUCAGUAUAUUCACCAUGUUCAUCUUAUAUCAUUGCUCAACAUGCAUAUUUCAGUUAUAUAUAUGUUGUUCAGCUUUAUCCUAUCCUGCAUGCUUAGUACCUUUCAAGUACUGAAGCUUACUCUGCGCUACAUCUUCUCGUGAUGUAGGUUCAGGUCCUCAGCAUUCAGAUCACGCAUAGAUCGAUUCUCGAUCUCCAGUUCAGUAGUAUCAGUGGUGAGUUAUCAUUCUUCGAGGAUGGUUGAUAUGUUUUCUAUUCAAUCUUUCUUUGUUUUAGUUUCAGUUUUGCUAGAGUUAGCUGGGGCAUGUCCCAACAUCUCUAGUCAGUUAGAGGAUUUUAUUCAAACAUAGUUAGAUUUAGUUUUAGAUUCGAGUUUCACCUUUCAGCUGUUAUUGAACUCUCGGUCUUUUAUAUAUUCAGACUUAGAAUGGGUAGUCCCCAUCAUUUCAUUUUAUAUUAUGUUUAAGCUUCCGCACGGUAUUUCUAUUUUUAGUAAUUUUUUAAGUAUGCUUAUGAUAUGCAGUUCAGGGUUAGCUUGGGGUCACUCGUGAUUCUAGGUCUCGUGUUACGUCAAGGGGUAGACUCGGGGCAUGACAAACUUGGUAUUAGAGCAUUAGGUUCAAGAGUCCUAGGAUGUUUGAAAAUCCACACUAAGUAGAGUCUGUUUCAUGAGUAUGCAGCGCGCCACACCCAUGAGGGGGAGGCUACGAAUGUCUUAGGAAGAAAUUCACUUUGUUGUUAUUCUUAUUGUGCGUGGGUAUGAUCUCCUUUCUAACUCGACGUUAUGCUUUUUCAGAUCAUGCCACCUCGUAGAGAUUACCCAAGGAAUGAUAAUGCCUGCAAAGCUAACGCAGUUCCUCCAGUCCCAAACCAUGAGGUUUCGAAUGCUGAGUUUUAGAAUGCCAUUCAACUUUUGGCCCAGAGUGUAGCCAACUAGAACAAUCAGCAGGUUCCAGUUCUUGCAAAUGCUAGUUGUGGAUUAGUUUCAGCUAGGGUCCAUGAUUUUUUCAGGAUGAAUCCACCUGAGUUUGUAGGGUCACAAGUUGGUGAGGAUCCCCAGAACUUUAUUGAUGAGGGUCAAGAAGAUCUUUGGAGUGAUGCAAGUAACUGUGAAUGAUAGGGUGGAGUUGGCGUCCUACCAGCUCAAGGAUGUAGCUCACAUUUGGUUCACUCAAUGGAAAGAAAACAGGGGUGAGAAUGCAACUCCUGUGACUUGGGUGUGUUUUACUGGAGCUUUUCUGAACAGGUUCUUUCCGAGAGAGUUGAGAGAGGCCAAAGCUCAGGAGUUCAUGAAUUUGAGGCAAGGCUCUAUGUCAGUCCAAGAGUACGGACUUAAGUUCACCCAGAUUUCCAAGUAUGCUCCACAUAUGGUUGCCGAUCCCAGGGCGCAAAUGAGUAAGUUCCUUUUUGGAGUAUCUGACUUGGUGAAGACAGAGUGCAGAAAUGCUAUGUUAUUAGAGGACAUGAAUAUCUCUAGGCUCAUGACUCAUGCUUAGCAGGUUAAAGGAGACAAGCUUAAAGAACUGGCUAAGAACAAUAAAAAAUCUAGGACAGGCAACUAUGAGUACUCUCAGCAGAAAUCGGGUGGUGGAAAUCGGUCACAGUUUUAGCAGAAAUCUUCUGCCCCAACACCUUCAUCAACUAGUGCUCCAUCCCCAAGGUUUCGACAGGAUCAGAAAGGUAGGGCAUCAGGCUCUAAGUCUCAGGGAAGUGCUUCAGGUACUAGAACCUACCCAACUUGUCCAAAGUGUGGUAAGAACCAUCUGGACGAGUGUCUUGCAGGCAAGGAAUGAUGUUUUGGGUGUGGUCAGUAUGGUUACAAGUUGAGGGAUUGCCCUUCUUCUAAACAGGAUCAAAAAGGUAAUACUAGUGGGGCUCAGUCUACAGCUUCAGCAGCACCAGCAGGUCGCCCGACUCAGCAGCGUACUACAUCUUGUACAGGUGGCGAUCAACCCAGAAUACGUUGUAUGCUCUCCAGGCUCGCCAAGAUCAGGAAGAUUCUCCUGAUGUGGUUACUUGUACAUUGCGAGUCUUUCAUUUAGAUGUUUAUGCUUUGUUAGAUCCAGGGGCUACUCUUUCCUUUGUAACUCUAUCUAUAGCAAUGAACUUUGGUGUCAGUCCAGAAACUUUCUCAGAACCCUUCUCAAUAUCUACUCCAGUUGGUGACCCAAUUAUAGCUAGAUGGGUAUACUACAUAAAUUGCCUAGUCACAGUCUCUCAGAAAGUCACCUCAGUGGAUCUUGUAAAGUUAAAAAUGGUAGACUUCAAUAUCAUUCUAGGCAUAGAUUGGUUACAAUAUUAUUAUGCCUCAGUUGAUUAUAGAACUAGGAUCGUGUGUUUUCAGUUUCCAGACGAGCCAAUCUUAGAAUGAAAGGGUAGUAGCUCAGUACCUAUGGGUCGAUUCAUUUCUUACCUUAAGGCCAGAAAGAUGAUCUAUAAUGGUUAUCUUUAUCAUCUAGUUCAGGUUAAGGAUUCAAGCUCCGAAACCCCAACUCUUGAGUCAAUUCCAGUAGUAAAUGAGUUCCCAUAAAUGUUUCCAGAAGAUCUUCCCAGAGUUCCUCCCGAAAGGGAACUCGACUUUGGAAUUUAUCAUCUUCCAGAUACCCAUCCUAUUUCUAUUCCUCCUUACAGAAAGGCUCUAGCUGAGCUUAAGGAAUUGAAAGAGCAGUUGAAAGAUCUUUUAGAUAAGGGCUUCAUCAGACCUAGUAUUUCCCCACGGGGUGCACCAGUGUUGUUCGUGAAAAAUAAAAAUGGUUAUCUCAGGAUGUGCAUUGACUAUCGGCAGUUGAACAAAGUCACAAUCAAGAAUAAGUACCCUAUCCCUAGGAUUGAUGACUUAUUCGACCAAUUUCAUGGUGCUAGUCAUUUCUCGAAGAUAGACCUCUGAUCCGGUUAUCAUCAGCUCAGAGUCAGAGAUAGUGACAUUCCAAAAACAGACUUCAAAACUCGAUAUGGUCAGUAUGAGUUAGUAGUUAUGUCAUUUGGACUAGCCAUGCUCCUGCAUCUUUCAUGGAUUUGAUGAACAAGGUGUUCAAGAAAUAUUUGGACUUGUUCGUUAUCAUCUUUAUUGAUGAUAGCCUCAUUUACUCUAGGAAUGAGGAGGAACAUGCGACUCAUUUGAGGGUUGUUCUGCAAACUCCCAAAGAUCGCCAGUUAUUCGCUAGUUUAGCAAAUGCGAGUUUUGGUUGCAAUCAGUUGCUUUCCUUGGGCAUAUAGUAUCUAGCGAAGGGAUCUGAGUUGAUUCUUAGAAAAUAGAGGUAGUGAAACAAUGGCCCAGACCUACCUCUCCUACAAAUAUCAAAGUUUUUUGGGUUUGGCUGGUUAGUAUAGAAGGUUCGUGGAAGGAUUUUCAUCCAUAGCUUCUCCACUGACUAAGUUGACUUAGAAGAAGGUUAAGUUUUAGUGGUCAGAUGAGUGUGAGAAGAGCUUCUAAGAACUGAAAACUAGGUUGACUACAUCUCUUGUUUUGACUCUACCAGAGGGUUCAGACGAUUAUCUGAUCUAUUGUGAUGCAUCCAGAGUCAGCCUAGGUUGUGUGUUGAUGCAGCGAGGUGAGGUUAUAGCUUAUGCCUCUAGAUAACUUAAGGUGCAUGAGAAGAACUAUUUGACUCAUAACCUUGAGCUUGCAGCCGUAGUAUUUACCCUAAAGAUCUGGAGACAUUACCUGUAUAGUGUUCACGUAGAUGUGUUCAUAGACCAUAAGAGCCUUCAGUAUGUGUUUACCCAGAAAUAGUUGAAUAUUUGCCAGAGGAGAUGGUUUGAGUUCCUCAAGGACUAUGACAUGAAUGUGAUUUACCAUCUUGGUAAGGCCAAUGUAGUAGCUGAUGCUCUUAGCAGACUAUCUAUGGGUAGUGUAGCGCAUAUUGAGGAAGAAAUGAAAGAAUUAGCAAAAGAUGUUCACCGGCUUCCUCUCUUAGGAGUUUGCCUUAUGAGCAUAUCAGAUGGUGGUGUAACAGUCUAGAAUAGGUCAGAAUCUUUAUUGGUGGCAGAGGUUAAGGAAAAACAAGGCAAUGAUCCUAUAUUGCUACAAUUGAAGGGUGCAGUUCAUCAGCAGAAAGUUGAGGUCUUCUCCCAAAGGGGAGAUGGUGUGCUUCGCUAUCCGGGUCGUUUAUGUGUUCCUAAGGUGGGUGAGUUGAGACAAAAGAUCCUUAUAGAAACCCAUAACUCCAGGUAUUCUAUUCAUCCAUGUGCCAGUAGGAUGUACCAUGAUCUGCAGGAAGUCUUUUGGUGGAAUGGUAUGAAAAGGGAUAUAGCAGACUUUGUGGCUAAGUGCCCUAAUUGUCAGCAAGUGAAGGUAGAACAUAAAAAACCAGGAGGUAUGACUCAAGAGAUUAAUAUCCAUACAUGGAAGUAGGAAGUGAUAAACAUGGACUUCAUUACAGGUUUACCUCGUACUCGCAGAUAGCAUGACUCCAUUUGGGUGAUAGUAGACAGAGUUACUAAGUCCGCUCACUUUUUGGCUGUCAAGACUACAGAUUCGGUGGAGGACUACGCCAAGAUUUAUAUUAAUGAUAUAGUCAGGUUGCAUGGGGUUCCUUUGUCUAUCAUCUCAGAUAGAGGUCCUCGGUUUACCUCUCAUUUCUGAAAGUCAUUUUAGAAAGGUCUUGGUGCUCAGGUUAAACUCAACACAUCAUUUCAUCCACAGACGAAUGGUCAGGUAGAGCGUACCAUUCAGACCUUAGAGGACAUGUUGAGAGCUUGCAUGAUCGACUUCAAGGGUAGUUCAGAUGAUCACCUUUCUCUUAUAGAGUUCGCCUACAAUAAUAGCUACCAUUCCAAUAUUCAGAUGGCCCCUUUUAAGGCAUUAUAUGGGCGUAGAUGUAGAUCUCCAGUUGUUUGGUUUUCAGUAGGUGAAGCAGCCUUGAUAGGGCCAGAUUCGGUUCAUGAUGCAAUGGAAAAAGUUCUACUCAUCUGAGAUAGAGUUAAGACAGCCUAGAGUCAUCAGAAGUCCUAUGCAGAUGUAAUGAGAAGGGACUUAGAGUUCAAAAUUGAUGAUUGGGUUUUCCUGAAAGAGACACCUAUGAAGGGGUGAUUAGGUUUGGCAAGAAAGGGAAGCUCAGUCCUAGAUAUGUAGGCCCUUAGAGGGUCUUGGAAAGAGUUGGUAAAAUGGCUUAUGAGUUAGAGUUGCCAGCAGAACUAGCAGCGGUGCAUCCGAUCUUCCACAUUUCGUUGUUAAAGAAAUGUGUGGGUGAUCCAACAUCCAUAGUACAAUUGGAAAGUGUGGCUGUGAAAGAUAGUAUCAGGUUUAAAGGUUGACAAACAAAGAAGUCGCUUCAGUGAAGGUUUUGUAGAGGAGCUCGUCUGUACAUGGAGCUACUUGGGAAGCAGAAGCAACCAUGAAGGUCAAGUAUCCUCAUCUCUUUCCUUCUGAUUCCAUUCUAGCUUGAGGUAAUAGUUCUUCUCGAGUCUUUCAUUUACUCAUGAGUAGAUUCAGUCUUAGUAUCAUGUUCCUUCAGUCAUACUUGCAUUUUCAGCGUAUUUGCAUUUUCUAGGAACUUAGUUCAGUCAGAUUUCAGUACUUAGUGGUAGGGUUUGCAGCUCUUUCUCUCCAUAUUCAGCUAGUUUAGUCUUCAUUCGAAGACGAAUGUUCCCAAGGGAGAGAUAAUGUAACACCCCAUAUGCUAGAAAACCAAAAGUGCAAAAUUUCAAAAGUUACAGGUGCCACCAACGGACCGUAGGGUGACCCACGGAGCAUAGGUGGGGUUCGUGAUUGGCCACCUGCAUCCCUCCCCAAAAUCUCAGAAAAAAAUUGUCUUAGAGUUGACCCACGACAAGACCUACAGAUCAUAGGUUAAAUCACGGGUCGUGGUCCUUUUCUGUGGAUCAAGACCCCCAGAACCCCUCUCUGAAGCCAGUCAACGACUGACAGGAUGGACCAUAGGUCAGUCAAUGGUCCGUUAGUUGGCCCCGAUAGCUUUUAAGUCAGGGUCAUUUUGGUCUUUUCCCUAUGCAUUGGACACAUAAACUACGUCGUUUAAACCCUAAGCUACGUCAUUUUGGCCAGGUUUGUCCUAGUAACUAAAUUACAACUUACCCUAGUCAAGUCAUUCUCCAAAAUUCAUCCAAUUUGAAUGAAAAGGAAAAGAAAGAGUCGACCAAUCCUCUCUAAGAACGCAACAAGGUUUCCUCCAGUUCCAGCCCUGAAAUCGAAAGAUUUCUCUGUGAAAUUCAUCACCAGGUAAGUGGGUUCCUUUCACUCAUUAGGUCCCUAGAAUUCAGUUAGAUUCUUGAAUAUUUAUAUCAUGUUUAGACUUAAGGUUUCUUGAACUUUAGAAAAGAGUUAUGAUUCAGCUGUUAGAGAAAUACUAAUUAGAUUAUCAUGUUUUUGAGGAAUUGUUGCUUAGCUUCUUGCAUGAAACUCAGAACUUUAGUUGUGUAGAUUCGUUUAGUUCAUGAAUUACACUUGCUAGGUCAAUCUUAUUCAGAUAUACAUGCUCCAGUUAAGAAUGUUUCAUUAUCAGUACAUUCAUGUUGCAUUUUCAGUUAGCAUGUCAGUAUUUGAGCUAUCCAGUUUAUAUUCAGUAAUGUUGUAUUGUAUACAUUAUAGUUGGGAGUAGGCUUAAUACCAAGUGGACUAUGGUCAGUCACCCUCAUAGUCCCAGAACUACGUACCCCAUAGGUUAAGUCCCUUUUGUGGGCAUCAUAUUUAGUGAUCACGCCAGUCAUGCCUUUAUACCCUGGCAAGGUAUAUUAGGUCCUCUUGAUGGGGCGUAUACAUCGGACUCCCGUUUAGCUCACGUAGUUUUAUGUCGGUUAUUAGUAGCUCCCACAGUCAGAUUCUAGUGCAUUGACCAGGUUACUAGUUAUAUUUCAGUAUUCAGUUUCAACAUGUUAUGUACUUGGUCAUUGCAUUCAGUUUAGUUCAUGUUUAGUAUGUUCAGUAUAUUCAUCAUGUUUAUCUUAUAUCAUUUCUCAGUAUGCUUAAUUUUAGUUAUUUAUAUGUUGUUCAGUUUUAUUUUAUCAUGCAUGCUCAAUACCUUUCAAGUACUGACGCAUACUCUGCGCUACAUCUUUUCGUGAUGUAGGUUCAUGUCCUCAACAUUUAGAUCACGCAUAGAUCGGUUUUCGAUCUCCAGUUCAACAGUAUCAAUGGUGAGUCCUUAUUCUUCGAGGAUGAAUGACAUGUUUUUUAUUCAGUCUUUCUUUGUUUUAGUUUCAGUUUUGCUAGAGCUAGCUGGGUCAUGUCCCAACAUCUCUAGUUAGUUAGAGGCUUUUAUUCAGUCAUAGUUAGAUUCAGUUUUAGAUUUGAGUUUGACCUUUCAUUUGUUAUUGAACUCUCAGUCUUUUAUAUAUUUAGACUUAGAAUGUGUAUUCCCCAUCAUUUCAUUAUAUAUCAUUUUUAAGCUUCCGCACCGUAUUUCUAUUUUUAGUAAAUCUUUAAGUAUGCUUAUGAUAUGCCAGUUCAGGGUUAGCUUGGGGUCACUCGUGAUUCUAGGUCCUGUGUUACGUCAACGGAGUAGCCUCGGGGCGUGACAUGUGUUUAGCUUGAAUCUCCUAAUAGGAGGUGGAACCCAUCUGAUGUGAACUUGGCAGAUAAGACUAGAAUUGGUCGACUGGUUAGAGAUAGUAAUGUAUUCCAUGAUUUUUUUCUUUUAUCAUUUUAAGGGAUGAGGAGGUAGUUUUAUUAUUAUAGACAUUAUUGUUUCUCUUUAUCCAAAUAUACCAUAAUGCAAAGGGGAGGAAAUCCAUCCAAGUAUAAUUAUCACUGUCAUUUAAAGGAGGUUUUAAUUCUUUUAGCGCAUGGAGCCAGUGAUAAUCAUGGGAGUGAGUAAGCUGGUGGGUAUUUAAACAAAAGUCUAACCAUAAAUUUUUAGAUGUGUGGCAGAGAAGAAAGAUAUGGACUGGGAUUUCAUUCUCCUAGUUGCAAAUAUGGCAGAUGGGAUCUUGAACUAUGCUCAGAUAGUGGAGGUAGGAUCAGGUAGGCAACUUGUUAUGCGCACAGAGCCAAAGAAGCAGGUUAAUUUUGUUAGGCAUGUGAAGAGACCAUAUCCAAUUGUUAAUAUUAGAAACUUGAAAGAAAAGAUAAGGUUCAGCAGAAGUGUUUUUUUCAUUCAUGCAGAUUUCAAUAGGCAUACACAAACAUAUAUCUACAUAAGCUUUUCCUAAGUUAGUAGAGGACCAUACCUAUACAAUCACUAUUGACUUUCUUACAAAACAUAUUCCAUAAAACAAGGACUACCUUGCCUUUACAUGCUAGGAUUUUGCUGUGAUUUUCUUUCCUUAUAUGAAGUUUAUUUUUUUCCUUAAAGAAAAGUUAAAGUAUUACUAUAAAUGCUUAAAUUUUUUCUAAAAGGAAAAUAUAAUUUUCUUCCAUAUUUGGUUUGUUCUUUCCUUAGAGGAAAAGUUUGGAGAUCUAUAAAUUAAAGAUUCCUUUUCUCAUAGCAAUACACAAUGGCUUCCACAAUGUAGACGCUUAAGAGUUUAGUUUAUGAGGAGAUUUAUUCUCUCAAUAGUUUUAAUAUUGUUUUCUUAUAUUAGUUUUUAUAUAAUAAUAUUAUGUUAUUAGUGUUUUUGUCGUCUGAUUUAUCAACCAUAUUGCAAUUGUAAGCUUCCGCAUGACGCCCUAAUCACUUUCGAACCCAACAAGUGGUAUCAAAGCACAUGGUUCAAUGAUCCAAUGGAACCAGGUUGAAGACAAAUUUAACGCGGUUUCAAAUCAAUUUGCAACAAAUUUGAUGAUAAUGAAGAGUUUUUCAAGCUACAUGUGGAGAAGAAGUUUCAAUCAUAUCUUCAACAUUCCUGUAGCUGCAAUUUUUAAAAAUAAAAAUAAAAUAUUUUAAAACCAUUUUUAACCCAUAUAUUUUAAACCUUAUUUUUAAUCAUGACAAGCAACAGUAAUGAAGAUUUUGUGAAGAACAAGAUUAUCAAGCAUAUGAAGAAGACGGAUCAAGUUUUGUCAAGAAAAUGUAGCCAAAAGGGGAGAUUUGUUAUGGUUUUACCCUGAUUUUCUUACCUUGUUUGAAGUUUAUUGUUUUCCUUAAAGAAAAGUUAAAGUAUUACCAUAAAUGCUUGAACUCUUUAUGAAAAAAAAUAAUAUUUUUCUUCCAGAUUUGGUUUAUUCUUUCCUUAGAGGAAAAGUUUGGAGAUCUAUAAAUUAAAGAUCCUUAUUCUCAUAGCAUAACACAAUAACUUCCACAAUGUAGACUUUUAAUAGUUUAGUGGAGAUUUAUUUUCUAAAUAGUUUUAAUAUUGUUCUCUUAUAUUAGUUUUCAUAUAAUAAUCUUAUGUUUUUAGUAUAAGUUUUUGUCGUUUGAUUUAUCAAUCAUAUGAUUUGCAAUUGUAAGCUUCCGCAUGACGCCCUAAUCACUUUCGAACCCAACAUUACAAACUAAACAUAAUAUUAAAAAAGGAACGAUUAAACAAAAGAUUAUCUAGAAAUAUCUCAUUUUCUAACAUUCCUCAUCGAGAUUUUUCUUGGAUACUCCCAACUUAUCCCUUAGAAGUUCAAAUUUCCCCUUAGGAAGAGCCUUGGUCAUAAUGUCUGCAAUCUAUUGAUCUGAGAUGCAAUGAGCAAGUUGAACUUCACCAUCCUUCUCUGCUUGCCUAAUAGCAUGAAACUUCACAUUCAUAUGCUUGCUAUGACCAUGUUGCACUGAAUUUUUGGCCAUAGAUAUUGCUGACUUGUUGUCAACCUAAAUGACAGUAGCUUCAAUGUCAUUUUGCUCCAGAUCACGUAGAAUCUUUCUUAACCAUAGAGCCUGAUUAGUUGCACCAGCAGCGGCUAUGUAUUCUGCUUUUGCAGAAGAUUGAGCUACCAUAUCUUGCUUUUGUGAAUUCCAUGAGAACAUGCCUGAACAAGUAUAAAAGCAUAUCCAUAAGUGAUUUUCAUAUCAUUAACGCUUCCUGCCUAAUCACUAUCUGAAUAACCCAUCAGUUGCCCUUACUUUUCCCUUUUAAACCAAAUACCAUAAUCAAUAGUUCCUUUGAUAUAUCUCAACGUUCGUUUAGAAACACCAAGAUGAACUUGACUUGGAGCUUGCAAAAACCUCAAAAUUAGAGUUGCCACGAAUAUGAGAUCAGGUCUUGUUAUUGUCAAAUACAACAGACUACCAAUCAAACUUCUAUAAACUAUUGGAUCAUCCCUAUCAUCUCCUUCAAACUUCGAAAUCUUUUCAUUGUGAAAUAGUGGGGUUGGUACAUGCUUGUAUUUCCCCAUAUUGAACAUUUUAAGAAUAUCUCAUGCAUAUUUUCUCUAGGAAAUGAAGAUUCCAUCAGUAGCUUGAUGAAUCUCCAUUCCCAGAAAGAAACUCAUUUCACCCAAAUCUGACAUGUCAAACUUGGUCUCCAUUUCUCGCAUGAACUAAUUUACCAUUGCUUCAUUGCUUCCUAUUACCAGAAGAUCAUCAACAUAGAGUGACACCACAAGUACAUCUCCUUCUUUAGCCCUCUUCACAUAUAAAGUGGCUUCAUUUUCAUUUCUCUUGAAGCCAAAAUGAAUGAGAUGAUCAUCAAUCUUAUUGUACCAAGCUCGAGGAGCCUUGAUUUAAUCAAUACAAUGCUUUAUGAAGUUUGUAGACUUUAUCCUCGCUUCCUGCAACUUGAAAGCAUUCUGGUUGGUCGACAUAAAUUUCCUCAUGUCCAUCUAAGAAUGUCGAUUUCACAUCCAGAUGAUACAACUUCCAAUUAGACUGAGCUGCCAAAGAAAAUAGAAGCCUUAUUGUAUCAUGUUGUGCAACAGGUGCAAAUGUGUCUCCAUAAUCCAGACCUGGAACUUGCACACAACCUUUCACAACAAGCCUUGCUUUGUAUUUAUAAACUGUCCUAUCUGGAUUAAGUUUGGUUCUAUAAACCCACUUCACCCCAGUUACAUUUCUAUUUUUGGGUUUAUCAACCAACUUCCAAAUAUCAUUCUUCUUUAUCAUACCAAUCUCAUCCUUCAUAGCUUCAAUCCAAAAUUCAUGUCUUGAUGCUUCUUGAUAGCUAUUUGGUUCUGAGAUUGCAACAUUACAUCUUUCAUAUAUCUUUGAAAGGAACCUUGUCUUCAAAAUUGCCGAAUCAAGUGAGGAUUCCCCGUCUGAUUCUUCAUUUUCUUCCAAAUUUUCAAAGCCAAAUAAUUGGAUUUUAGGCAGCGGACUCAAGUUCUGAAAAUUUGCAUUAUCUUUCUCAAUUUGCUCCUUACCCCAGUUUCAAUAAGUAUGCUGAUCCACGACUAUAUCUCUUCGGAUUGAAAUACUUUUUUUUUGCAAUUUGAAAAAUCUAUAACCCUUGGCUUGUGAAGAAUAAUCAAUAAAGAUCCUCAAUUCACUUUUUGGUUCAAGUUUGCUUCUUUUGACAGAAGGAAUAUGAAAGGAAUAUGAGAACAAGAUAUUGACCCAAAAACUUUUAGAUGUUUGGCAGAUGGUUGUAUUGCACUCCAUGCCUCAACCGGUGUCUUUUCAUCCAUAUCUUUUGUUGGUAGCUUAUUUAACAAAUAAACUGAAGUAUUAAUAACUUCUGCCCAAAAUCUUCGUGGCAGUUUCUUUUCCAGCAACAAACAUCUAGCCAUUUCAACUAUUGUUCUGUUCUUGCUCUAUGAGACUUCAUUUUGUUCAGGUGAAUAGCUUACUGUCAACUUUUGAUUAAUCCCCAUAUUUUCACAAUACUUAAGGCACUGCUGAACUAUUCUUCCACUCAAUAACUGGCUCAUUAGGAAACUGGAACUUAACAACUUGAGUUCUACAAUCAACUGAGGCAUAACAGACAUGAAGCCAUUCCAUACCUAGAAUAACAACAAAAUCUACCAUGUCUAACUCAACUAAGUCAACCAUGGUGUCCUUGUGAUUGAAAGAAACGACACAAUCACAAUAAACUCUCUCAGCUAGAAUAGACUCACCAAUAGGUGUAGAAAUAAUGAAGGGAUCAAGAAAUUGCUCAGGAAGAAUAUUAAAAUUCAUAGCAAUAUAAGGAGUCACAAAAUAUAGACUCACUCCUGGAUCUAGCAAAGCAUAUACAUCAAAAGUAAAGACUUUGAUCAUACAUGUGACAACAUCUAGUGAAUUCGAAUUCUCUUGCUCUUGGCGACUGGUGAUAGCAUACAUACAGUUUGCUCCACCGCCUGUCCCCGAAGUAGCUCCUCUAGGUGCAGCUCUAUCUGAUGGAGUCGCUGAAGAAGAUUGGGUUCGAUUGCUCCCAUUACCACCACCUUGCAUGUUCUUAGGGCACUCUUUCAUGAAGUGACUAUUCUGACCACACUUGAAGCAACCAGUGGAGCCAUCACAACACACUCUUGACUGGUUCCUACCACACUUAGCACAUGCACGAGUCCCAUUACCUCCUUGUGCCAUACUUUCUUGAGACUAUGCAGAUCUAGCUCUGAAAUUUUGCGAACUCUGAUUCUUGAACUUACCUCUGUUCUUUGGUGUAGGUGCACUAGCAGGUGAUGGAGCAGAUCCCUUUGGCUUUGUUUGAAAGGAGGACCGACUUGCAUUACUAUUCUGCUGCCCGGACUCAUUUCCUGAUGUAUUAGUCUUCUUGUUUCGAAAAUCUUCUCUCUCUCUCAGCUUAUCUUCCUCAACCUAUUGCACAUGGAUCAUCAACCUUGUUAUGUCCACGCCCCUAUCAACAUAGCCGCCUUGUCGUCCUUACUUGACAGGUGAGACAACUCAGAUAAAAACUAGCUCAUCUUGCUCUUCAUAUCAGCAACCAUCUCCGGAGCAUAACGGGACAGUUGAGGGAACCUAAGGCUAAAGUCAUGCACACUCAUAGAUUCCUACUUAAGAGUGAGGAAUUCCCUUACCUUUGCCUCUCUUAAUUCACGGGGAAAGAAACGCAUUAAGGAGGUCUCCUCAAACAUAGUCCAGCUCACAAAUGGUGCACCUUCAUCUCUAUUCUUCUCCCAUUGGUCAAACCACACUCUAUAAACACCCUUCAGUAGGAAUGCGGGUAGUUCCUCGUGCUCAACAUUAGCAACAUGCAUCACUUCAAACACUUUCUGUAACUCUUCCAUAAAUUUCUCUUGAUCCUCAGUGAUACUUGAGCCGGUGAAGACUGGAGGAUUCAUCCUUAAAUACACACGAAUUCUGGACAUAUCAGCCACAUCCUAUCGAACCCCUCUCUGUUACCCAGCUUGGUCGGUCACCACUUGACUCAAAAUUUGAAUAGCAUCCCAGAAUUCAACAUUAGUGACCUCUCCUUGGGGUUACACUUCAGGUGCAUUGGGUAACCCUUGAUCCCAAGGUUCAACAUUUCUCCUAAAGGGAUGACCUUGAAUAGCUUUUUGUGGAGGCAUGAUCUGAAAUAUACGCGCAAGCACAAAUUACAAAGAAACUUUAUAGAGUUUAACUCUAUCGCACGAAAAGAAUAUGAAAGAAGUGAGAUACUUCCUAAAUGUUGCAGCCUCCUAAUUAUAGAUGUGGCGCACUUCACACCGAUAACUAGGAUUCUACAGACAUGGCUUCAUAGACACCCUAGGACUCUUGAACUCUGUGUUCUGACACCAAGUUUGUCAUGUCUCGAGCCUACACCCUGGACGCGACUGGCACUCGAGAACCAUUGUUGGCCCCAAGCGAACCCUUGGCCUGGCUCAACUCGCAGGGAAGACUUACUCAUCUAUAAAAAAAACUCAAAGGAAAAUUGUAAAUCAAAUGUAUUAAUAUAAAUACUCAGAGUAUUUUAGAAAUAACAUUCACCGGCCAAAAGAGGCAACUCAAGUCUCAACAUUUAAUAAUGGAAUGAAAAAGACUCAAGAACUAAUUUUGUCUAUCUAUGAAGCCACUACUAACUGAGAUGGACAUCGGGACAAGACCCCCAAUCAUACUAACUGAAAUAACAUGAUAGAAAUAAAUGAGGGAUCCUCCGGAAGCAAGGAGGCUGACCAAACAACUCUGGAACUGCAAAUGGUAUCAAGGAAUCGCCUAUUGAUAAUCCUAAUCUCCUGUAUCUGCAUCAUAAAAGGUUCAGGCCAAAUGACGUCAGUACAUGGAAUGUACGAGCAUGCAUGGGUAAAUCUAAAAUAUCACAAAGCUUGAACUGUAACUGAAGAAACAACUUACCACGUCUCACCUCAACUCAACUCAAAGAUACUCAAACUUACUCAACUCAGUUCCAUAUAAAGCAGUAGUAAAAUGAAUUAUAAAGAAAGAUUUUAAACAAUAGAUAACAACUCAAUGUAUUGUAAAAUACAAUAAUAACUCAGUUUUUAUAUAAAAUACAAAAUAACUCUGUUUUGCAGAUUCUCUAACCGACAACCAUAACUAUGAGUUAUGUGAUGAUACAUCGUCUCACCCACGCCGCCAGAACUGUCCUAUACUUUGUUGGGGUAUAGGACCCACUCACUAAAUGGAUCCACUAAGCUAUGCUUAAAAAGAAAUAAGGAAUCAUCUAAAAAGUAUGACCCUUUAUACCACGUACUUUGGCUACAUGGUUUAUGAUGACUUUGAGUUAUCUAAACUCAUCCCCAUAUUGGUGCUCAAUAAUACUCUCAAAAUAUAACUUAGCUCAUAUGUUUAAAAACAUUUCUCUUCCUAUAGUUUGAGAUAAUUACUCAAUAGAUUUCUUUAAAAAGAGAUAGUACUCAAGACUCCUCUUAAACUUCUUUGGAAAUCAUAGUUUCCUCCUCUUUUAAAUGUAAGAACAUUUACUCUUGGGAAUACUUAGUUCCCAUAUAUUCAUUUUGAAAAAUAAACUCAAGCUUACUCAUCCUCAUACUCAAAUACUGAAGUCUUAAAACAAGUUUGAAAAGAUUGUAAAAGACUUCUGCAAAUGACUCGAAAGAACUCUCAAGACUUAACUCUUAACUCUACCUUGAAUUUGAAUUAUGAAUUCAAGGUUAUAAAUAAUUUUAUGAGUGAUCUCUUGAUGUAUAUAUGUAGUUUAGAGUGUGUAUAUCAAGUAGAAAACAUAGGUAUGAUUCUAGGGAACUCACAAACAAAGAAGGACAGAAAGGUAGGGACCUGGCGACCCUGGCGCACUGAUUAGCGCAGGGAGCCAACCUUUGAACUACUGAAGGUGGGUUGGGGAACGCUGAGUAGCGUGGCACCCAAGGACCCAAACUACAGAAUCUUACUUGGGGACCCUAUGCCCAGUUUUUGACGACUUUUCUUGUUCUUCAUCAUGUUUUAACUCCUCUAAAAUUAAACGAUUUCCCUCAAACUCUUAUGGAUUGAUAAACCCAAUAUAAUUGCAAUGAAAUUCACCUUAAAUUACUCAAGAAGAAUACUCCAACACAAAAUCCUCAUCACAAGAACUCAACGAAACCUCAUACUUAAAGAAUGGGUCACAAACUUCAAGAAACUCAUCAAGAAUUCAUCAAGAACUCAAAUCUGCUCAAUCUUAUAGAUGAAAUUAGAAUAUGUAAAUCAUGAUUGGCGUGUGGGUGAACGAACCCAACACUAUGAAAACUUACAUACCUUGAUUUGGCAAAAUCCCUCAAAAAUCUCCCGAAUCUUGACGAACGCCUUAAACUUUUCUCCUUUUCUCCUCUUCUUGAACACCUUUCAAAACCCUAAGCGUAUUUGGGAUUAUGAAAACUGACCCAUAUCAGAUUUGACCCCAAAAGUAUUACUAAAUUCGUUUUAAGCUGAAAGGGUAAGGAAAAGACCAAAAUACCCUUAAAAUUUUUGGGUAACUUUCCUUAACUGGACAGACAGAUUUCAAACGGUCAUAUCUCCCUCAUACAAACUCAAAACUUAGAAAACUCGGUGGCGUUGGAAAGAGGAUUCCAAGACCUUUCAUUUGAUAUCUUAUGAGUCAUAUAACUCAUCUUGUACCGAAAGUUAUAGUCAUUUGAAGUUGACCCAAAACUCAUAACUUAGCAUAACUUGCCAAAAUUUUCAAUCUGACUCUUACCAAAAUAGUUCUUUCUAAACCUAGCUCUUUCUAAGGCAGGAUGUGACAUAUUACAUGAGCCAUUUACAGUAUCGACUCCAGUAGGAGAAUCUAUUAUAACUAGAAAGGUCUAUUAUAGGUGCCUAGUAAGAAUAUGUGGCCGUGACACAUUGACAAAUUUGAUAGAGCUAGAAAUGGUUGAUUUUGAUGUCAUUAUGGGCAUGGAUUGGUUGUCGUCUUGUUAUGCUACGGUUGAUUGCCGAGCUAAAGUUACUCGAUUCCAUUUCCCAGGCGAGCCAGUCUUAGUGUGGAAAGGCAAUGCUAUGAUGCCUAGAGGAAACUUUAUUUACUAUCUUUAGGCACAAAAGAUUUUAGAUAAAGGGUGUUUAUAUCACCUUGUCCAUGUAAGAGACCUUGAAGCUGAGAACCAGGUGGCGAUUCUUCAAUCUGUGCCCGUUGUGAAUGAAUAUCCAGAUGUGUUUCCUGACGAACUUCCUGGACUACCUCUAAUUAGAGAGAUUGAUUUUGGUAUUGAUGUAGAUCCCGGUAUCCAGCCUAUAUCUAUUUCGCCUUAUAGAAUAGCGGCAGCAGAAUUGAAAGAGCUAAAUGAGCAUCUGAAAGAUUUGCUUGAUAAAGGUUUCAUUCACCCCAGCAUAUCGCCUUAGGGUGCUCAAGUACUAUUUGUACGCAAGAAGGAUGGCACAAUGCGAACGUGUAUAGAUUGCAUGAUGUUUAAUAAAGUGAUGAUAAAGAACAAAUACCCCCUUCCAAGGAUAGAUGAUUUAUUUUAUCAUUUGCAAGGGUCUAAGUGCUUUUCAAAGAUCAAAUUGAGAUCUGGAUAUCAUUAGCUGAAGAUUCGAGAAGUAGAUAUUCCUAAAACAACCUUCAGAACGAGAUAUGGACACUUUGAGUUCCUCGUCAUGUCAUUUGGACUAACAAAUGCUCCAACAGCCUUUAUAGAUAUGAUGAAUAAGGUUAUCAAACCCUUGCUUUAUAUGUAUGUGAUUGUAUUUAUAGAUGACAUCUUGAUAUAUUCACGGGAUGCCAGAGAACAUGCAAAUCAUCGGAGAGUUGUCCUAUAAACACUCAGAGCGCACCAACUAUAUGCCAAGUUUUCUAAAUGUGAAUUCGAGAUGAACUCUGUGGCUUUUCUUGGCCAUGUGGUCUCUGGUGAAGGCAUUAUAGUAGAUUUCCAAAAGAUUGAGGUUGUAAAGAGUUGGCCUCGGAGGUGUGUAGUUUCUUGGGACUGGCUGGAUAUUACCGAAGGUUUGUAGAGGGAUUCUCCUCUAUUUUUGCACCAUUGACAAUGUUGACGAAGAAGGCAGUGAAGUUCUAGUGGUCCGACGCGUGUGAGAAAAACAUCCAAGAGCUUAAAGAUCGAUUGACUAAGGCGCCAAUAUUGGCCUUACCAGAGGGUACAUAAGGAUAUGUAAUUUAUUGUGAUGCUUCAGGCAUUGUCCUAGGAUGCGUCUUAAUGCAGCAUGAGAAGGUGAUAGCAUACGCUUCUCAACAAUUGAAGAAACAUGAACAAAACUACCCCACUCAUGAUUUGGAGCUCGCUGCAGUGGUAUUUGUGCUAAAGAUUUUGUGGCACUAUUUGUAUGAGGUACAUGUUAAUACAUUUACAAAUCAUAAGAGUCUCCAGUAACUUUUCAAGCAAGAAGACUUGAAUAUCAGAGAAGGUGGCUAGAGUUGUUGAAGGACUAUGAUGUAAACAUUCUCUACCACCCAAUAAAGCUAACGUGGUAGAAAAUGCUCUUAGUCGACUAUCUACGAGCAAUAUAGUACAUUUACCAUGUGUACAACAGGAAGUAGCACGAGAUGUUCACAAAUUAGCCAGCUUAGGAGUCCAAAUUCUAGAACCCGAAGAUGGAGGUAUAGUCGUACAUAAUAGUGCCGAAUCAUCAUUAGUGGCAUUGGUGAACAAAAAAUAGUAUGACGAUCUAAUAUUUAUACAGUAUCGAGAAAUGAUUCGUGAGCACCGAAUUACUGGAUUCGAGUUAGUAGGAGAUGGCACCUUGAGAUGCCAAAGCAGACUAUGUGUUCCAAAUAUAGAAAGGUUAAGGCAGAAAAUCGUGGAUGAAGCACAUUGUUCCUGAUAAUGAAUUCAUCCAGGCUCCACAAAGAUGUAUCAUGACCUUAAGGAGGUAUACUGGUGGAAUGACAUGAAAAGGAAUAUUGCGGAAUACGUGGUACAAUGCUCCAAUUGCCAACAAGUUAAAACAGAACAUCAGAGGCCCGGUGGCCUAGCUCAGACUAUGAACAUUCCAAUAUGGAAAUGAAAGGUUAUUAAUAUGGAUUUCAUUACAUGUUUUCCUUUCUCUUUUAAGAGACAUGAUUCCAUUUGGGUGAUCAUUGAUCGGUUGACGAAAUCAGCCCACUUCUAGCUAGUUAAAUCCAACAACAAUGCCGAAGAGUAUGCCAAGCUUGAUAGAAUUUGCCCUACAAUAAUAGCUAUCAUUUAAGCAUUUGAAGCCCCUUAUGGGCGUCGGUGCAGAUUUCCUAUUGGUUGGUUUGAAAUAGGUGAAACUCAAAUAUUAGGACCAUACUUUGUUAACCAAGCCGUUGAAAAAGUAAAGUUGAUACAAGAGCGACUGAAGACAGCUCAGAGCCAAUAAAAAUCAUAUGCAAACGUACGCCGUAGAGACAUAGAGUUUCAGGUUGAUGACUGGGUAUUCUUGAAGGUAUCCCCUAUGAAGGGCGUUAUGAGAAUUGGGAGGAAAGGUAAGUUGAGCCCCAGGUAUAGAGGGCCAUAUAAAGUUAUACAUAGAAUUGGCCAAGUAACCUAUGAGGUGGAUUUGCCUCGAGAGUUAGCUGUAGUACACCCGUUCUUCCAUGUGUCGAUGUUACGCAAAUUCUUGGGAGAUCCUACACAGGUUAUUCCCAUAGAAGGUAUGGAACUCUUAGAACAUUAUUGUGUGAGGAAGUCCCUGUGGCAAUAUUAGACUGACAGGUUAGGAAGUUAAGGACAAAAGAUGUAGCAUCAAUCAAGGUACUUUGGAGAAGUCAGAAUAUAAAAGAAGCCACUUGGGAAACAGAGGCUGACAUGAGGGCCAAGUAUUCCCACUUAUUUCAGUAGCCACACAAAGGUUCUUAAAGUCAUAACUCCUUUCAUUUGAGUAUCAGUUUUGUCUAUACUUUGUAGCACUGCUUUAUUAUAUGUUAUAUGUUCAGGUACUUGAUACAGACACCACAUAUCCCUCAGAGUUGAAACGUCCAUAGUAUAAGGUAUGUUAUAUUAGUUAGUGCAGUUUCCAUUUGUAUAAGGCCAAUCAUGGCCUAGUGGAUAUCCGUUGCAUAUUAUUGUGUGGUGAUGCUUUAUGAAGCAAUGUGUAUAUUUUGGUUAGCUGACAGGUUUUGGAUAGGCCUAUUUACAAAGGAAACUAUGCCAAUUUUUUUCUAAAAAAAUAAUACAAUUUUUAUCAUCUUAAGGAGCUGCCUUCAUUCGAGGACGAAUGAUCCAAAAGGGGGGGGAUAAUGUAAUACCCCGUAACUUAAAAUACAUUUGUGACUCAUAAACACCAAUGCAUAGGUGUGAUAUUGGGGGAAGUAUAUCAUUGAAGAUGGUUAACCAUACCAUGUAACCCUUAUAUUUAGUCAUUUGAAGGGUUAAACAAAAGUUUUAGGCCAAAGAGAUCAUUAAAGAAAAGAUUCAAGUUUAAAGGCUCAUUGUGGAGGAAUACUACAAAUGAUCUCAUUUCUCAAUUGACUUUGAACAAGCAUAUCACCUAAUAUAUGAGGGGUUAGAGGACCUACAACAUAUCAAAUCAAAGGUAUUUGAGUCUAGUUUCCAGAAAAACAAACCGCUCGUUAAAACAAUAUUGGAGUAAAAAGUAAUGUUCAUUCUACAAUGUACGUGUGCACUGCCCAAUCUUUGCGGGACAUGUGGGACUUAAGAGAAAGUCGGCCAAUUGUUUUUAUAUUAGAAGUUUGGGAUAUCCUUUCCCAUAUACUCAAGAACGUGUAAGAACUGGUUUCAAGUUAUUUCUUCAAGUUUUUCUCAUCUCCAAACCUCUAAAGCUUAAGGUAAGUUGGUUUCUUCAAGAAUUAAGUAUUUUCCUCUCCAUACAAUUAUAGAUAUACUUUGCUAAAUUUUUUCUUGAAAGAAAAAGUAUUGUUCUUGAAGAAUAAAAAGGGCAGGGGCUGCUUUUCAUGGAUAUAUAGUUAUGACUCCUCUUCUAUCUCCAUAAAAAGUAUUCUAAGGAUGCUUUAAGUAUAAUUUGCGGGAAGGACUCACGGGACGGUGAUAGGAAGCCAUGAGUCCAUGUUUUAGCCAUGGUAGUUGAUGUUUUGGUGAGGAGGGAGUUUGUAGAAGGUUGUGUUGGUUGUUGUUUUGACCAAACAAAGGGUGAAUGGUAUUGUAUUGGGGCAGUAAGCUGGUUACGAUAAAAUUGAAGGCUAGGUAUAGAAAACGCAACUCUUAUAGUUCUUGAAAGCUUGUCGCUUACCAAUUAUUUGAUGAAAUGCCUAAAUUGCUAAGAAUAUGUUGUUGCUGGUCACUACUAGAAAUUCGUUGUUUGCCGAUUACAAAAUUAGCCGGAAUGUAGUCGGAAAAUGGGGUUUGCCGAUUACCUUCCGAUUACUUUAUAGUAGUUGGUAAUUCUUUACCGACUACAGUAGUCAGCAUUUGCCGACUACGGUAGUUGGAAAAUAUAAAACAAGAACCGACCAUAAAGUACCUAAAUUGCCGACUAUUGUAGUCCGAAACUAUUAAAAUAAUAAUUUAAUAAUUAAAACAAUGCCGACUACAGUAAUCGUAAUACUUCAACAAUUAAAUAAUUAAUUAAUAUAUAUUUCGACUAUUGUGGUCGGCAUAUAAUUUAUUUGUUAAUCAUUUAAGUACUUUUUCGACUACUACAGUUGGUAUACAUAAUUAAUUUAUUCACUAUUUAGGUAAUCUGCCGAUUACUGUAGUCGGCAAUUUUAAUUUUCUAAAAAAAAUUAUAUGAUAUUGCAUACUAUUGUAGUCGAAAAAACUACAUUUUACUACUGAAAACUGUUGUUUCUUUGGUAGACCACCUGCUAAAUUAAUACUAUCAUCCAUCCACAAAAACUCAACAAUAAAAUCAAACAUCGAAUACAUUUCUAAACAUUCAAAUUGCAUUCAAUUCAAUUGAGUCUAAAAGCUCAAGCAUCAUCAAAAUCAAGUCUAAUAAGUAUUAAGUUGUUAUUCAAAAAGGAAGUAAAUAGUUCAAAACACGUCUAAAUCUCAUAGAAAAUGUCUAAACAACCAUAAAACAAUCUACUAUUCAUCAGAGUCGGUCCCUUCACUUUCAUCAGAUUCAGCCAUAUGUUUCUCCAUGAAUUUCUGCACUUUAGCAAAGUUAGCUUCAGAUGAUUGAAGUCGUUCUAUAAGCUCUGAAAUUUGUCUUCGCAUUGCUUCCAUUUCUUCCGAAGAUUGAGAAGUAGAAGCACCAGACAACAAUGAUGAUGGAUGAAACGAGGAAAGUUGUGCUCCAAACCCGUAAACUCUACCUUUCUUCACACCUCCUGCCACAUUUGUCCAUAUUGAUGUAAUAUCACUAGAUGAUGUGGAAUCAGCCUCUGAAGUGGGAUGUGCCUGACGCCAUUCAUCCAAGCCUCUCUUAAAUCCAACCUGAAAUAAAUGUAUUUAUAAAUCAAUAAUCUUAUUUCUUUCAGACAUAAUACAUAAUUAAGUAAAAAGAGACGACCAUCAAAAAGGAGGAAAAGAAUUAAACAUGUUUCCCUUCAAUGAAGCAAAAGUUUCAUAGGCAUUUCUCUGGUUACAGCUUGCAGCCUCUGAACAAAUUAUUUCAGCAUCUGGCUGAAAUCGUGCUAGAAAUUUUCAACCAUGUUAGAGGUGCCUUGAAGUAGUAUGAAAUUAAUAAAAGGCCUAAAGCUACUUUCAAUGCUCAUGGUGUAUACCUUACUACAUCUCAAGCAUCUCUAAAGAAACUACUAUUAUAGACAUCAGAUCCUGUACUUUUGUUAAUACAACCUUUUAUUACCUCAUUUCUAGUAAAAGUUUCAAGUAGUUGCACCUAUUGAUAUACAGAUAACUGAUUUCCACGAUUUCCAUUUUUUAAGAACACUUCUUCAGCAUUUUGUUUUUGUCCAACUUCCCUUUCCCCUAAUAGUUGAGAAAAAUGCCUUAAAAUAUAGUAGUGAUCUGUUCAGAUUAAGUCUGCAUCUGGAUGUUCUCAUCUUGAAACUGAAAAUUGUUUUUCGAAGCCUUUUCUAUUUGACAAUGGAAUGAAAAUAUUGAUUAUUAUCAUUCCCUAGUCUCAACCAAAUUGUUUUGCUUCUUUGAAUCAACAUCACUUCUGUCAAGUAGCUCACCCUUUUAAAUUCCUUAUCAAUUUCUAUUUCCUCCUGUUGUUUUAGCUUAUUGUGCCACGUACAAC
rnacentral:lncRNA from 1 species